rnacentral:rRNA from 1 species
AACGAACGCUGGCGGCAGGCUUAGCACAUGCAAAUCGAACGCCCGUAGCAAUACGGGAGUGGCGGACGGGUGAGUAACGCGUGGGAACGUACCCUGAGGUACGGAAUAACCGAGGGAAACUUCGGCUAAUACCGUAUGAGCCCCGCAAGGGGGAAAGAUUUAUCGCCUUGGGAGCGGCCCGCGUCGGAUUAGCUAGUUGGUGGGGUAACGGCCUACCAAGGCUUCGAUCCGUAGCUGGUCUGAGAGGACGAUCAGCCACACUGGGACUGAGACACGGCCCAGACUCCUACGGGAGGCAGCAGUGGGGAAUCUUGCGCAAUGGGGGCAACCCUGACGCAGCCAUGCCGCGUGAACGAUGAAGGCCUUAGGGUUGUAAAGUUCUUUUACCCGUGACGAUGAUGACGGUAACGGGGGAUAAGCUCCGGCUAACUUCGUG